rnacentral:hammerhead_ribozyme from 1 species
GUACUGAUGAAGAGUCCUAAAAUAUGACGAAACAGUUGUCCAGUAC